CUUAACUGCAUUAAUAGCAUGCCCUCAUGUUGGUUUGUGGCAGUUCUUCUGCAACGUACCCUACGUUAGAACACACCUCAGAAAUAGGUUUGUAUGGGUUGCCACAACUUUGAAACCAGGACAGUACUCUCUGACUGCAUAUGUUGUGGAGGCUUCUUGUUAAAGUGGAUGAAACUUCUGGUCUGAACAUCCUCAAUUGUGAGGAUGUGAGAAAUCCAGACUGCUUCUCCCAUUAUGCUAAAAAUGUACAGGAGAGAAGAGAAGGAAGGAAGGGAAAGGAAAGAAAGGAGAAAAAAAAAAAAAAAGAGAGAGAGAGAGAAAGAACCUCUUACAAAUGUAAUUCUCUCUUGUGUAAAUAGCCACAGUCCUGUUUCCUCACCCAGAUCUAGGUCUUUCAGGCCCAGACCAGACCAAAUUCUGGCCAUUCGAGAAGCUUUAAAAGCCACUUCCUCUUGUAGCCCCUCCAGACUGCUGAGUUGUCACUUCACCUGUGCACACAAUACAACAUUAGACAGAAGUAAAUGAACCAUUAUGCUUCAUACCUAUCUAAGACUUGGCCUUCUUUCCUAGCCGAUCUUGUUUGACCAACAGUAGGACAAAGUGGUCGUAGGAAGCAGGAAAGGUCUUAAAGUCAGUGGGAUAACCGUAGUGGUACGGCCCUACGUAAAAACAAAAGCAGAUUAGAGAAGAGAGUGCUCUAGAGCACACUAUGAGGUAGAUUAUAACUGGUUAGCGAAGAAACAAUCUAACAUUGCUUCUGCAUUAUGUCUUUGCAAAGGAUUAAAUGAUUCCAUCAUUCUUGUCUUCCAGAACAAAACGGUCUGCAGGAUCCUGGUUGACUGCUCAGACUAGCAGAGGAUCCUUGGCCCAAACUGACAACCUUCAUUCAAAGCCACUAUCUGAAGGGAAGAGAGACGAAUCUAAAGAAUCUCUGUCAAAUGUGUUCAGAAAUGAUGCAGCUGAUCAGCAGUUUAACCUUGAAGCUGCAAUUAAAAAUGUUGGCAAAAUGUCUGAUGAGCUAAAGAAACUAAAUGUGGAAAGCCAGCUGCUGCUUUGUGACCUUAUUUUGAAUUUCAACCAUCCCCUGAAGGCCAAAGAUUUAAGAGAAGCUGAAGAAAAAACUCGGAGUUUGACAGAUUAA
rnacentral:lncRNA from 1 species